GACGUAGGGUGCGAGCGUUGUCCGGAUUUAUUGGGCGUAAAGCGCGUGUAGGCGGCUAUGUAAGUCGGGCGUGAAAUCCCACGGCUCAACCGUGGAAGUGCACCCGAAACUGCGUAGCUAGAGUCCUGGAGAGGAAGGUGGAAUGCUUGGUGUAGAGGUGAAAUUCGUAGAUAUCAAGCGGAACACCGGUGGCGAAGGCGGCGACCUGGGUAGAUACUGACGCUGAGGUGCGAAAGCGUGGGGAGCAAACAGG
rnacentral:rRNA from 1 species